UGAGGAAUAUUGGGCAAUGCCCGCAAGGGUGACCCAGCAACGCCGCGUGGAGGAUGAAGGCCGUAAGGUUGUAAACUCCUGUUAGAGGGGAAGAAUAAUUCCGAUCGACCCGGAACUUGACUGUACCCUCAGAGAAAGCCCCGGCUAACUACGUGCCAGCAGCCGCGGUAAUACGUAGGGGGCAAGCGUUGUCCGGAUUUACUGGGUGUAAAGGGCGCGCAGGUGGGUUCGCAAGUCAGAGGUGAAAUCUCACGGCUUAACCGUGAAAGUGCCUUUGAUACUGUGAAUCUUGAGUUCGGAAGAGAGAGACGGAAUUCCAGGUGUAGUGGUGAAAUACGUAGAUAUCUGGAAGAACACCAGUUGCGAAGGCGGUCUCUUGGUCCGAUACUGACACUCAGGCGCGAAAGCGUGGGUAGCAAACAGGAUUAGAUACCCUGGUAGUCCACGCUGUAAACGAUGAAUACUAGGUGUUGGUGCCUUAGGCAUCAGUGCCGCAGCUAACGCAUUAAGUAUUCCACCUGGGGAGUACGAUCGCAAGGUUG
rnacentral:rRNA from 1 species